rnacentral:rRNA from 1 species
AGACCCGAAACCCGGUGAUCUAGCCAUGGGCAGGUUGAAGGUUGGGUAACACUAACUGGAGGACCGAACCGACUAAUGUUGAAAAAUUAGCGGAUGACUUGUGGCUGGGGGUGAAAGGCCAAUCAAACCGGGAGAUAGCUGGUUCUCCCCGAAAGCUAUUUAGGUAGCGCCUCGUGAAUUCAUCUCCGGGGGUAGAGCACUGUUUCGGCAAGGGGGUCAUCCCGACUUACCAACCCGAUGCAAACUGCGAAUACCGGAGAAUGUUAUCACGGGAGACACACGGCGGGUGCUAACGUCCGUCGUGAAGAGGGAAACAACCCAGACCGCCAGCUAAGGUCCCAAAGUCAUGGUUAAGUGGGAAACGAUGUGGGAAGGCCCAGACAGCCAGGAUGUUGGCUUAGAAGCAGCCAUCAUUUAAAGAAAGCGUAAUAGCUCACUGGUCGAGUCGGCCUGCGCGGAAGAUGUAACGGGGCUAAACCAUGCACCGAAGCUGCGGCAGCGACACUGUGUGUUGUUGGGUAGGGGAGCGUUCUGUAAGCCUGUGAAGGUGUGCUGUGAGGCAUGCUGGAGGUAUCAGAAGUGCGAAUGCUGACAUAAGUAACGAUAAAGCGGGUGAAAAGCCCGCUCGCCGGAAGACCAAGGGUUCCUGUCCAACGUUAAUCGGGGCAGGGUGAGUCGACCCCUAAGGCGAGGCCGAAAGGCGUAGUCGAUGGGAAACAGGUUAAUAUUCCUGUACUUGGUGUUACUGCGAAGGGGGGACGGAGAAGGCUAUGUUGGCCGGGCGACGGUUGUCCCGGUUUAAGCGUGUAGG